GGUUUCAUGGUGUAGUUGGUUAUCACGCGACCUUAACAAUUUCUCUUGAGAAUUUGAACGGUCGAGGUCUUGAGUUCGAUCCUCAAUGAAAUCA